rnacentral:rRNA from 1 species
GACGAACGCUGGCGGCGUGCUUAACACAUGCAAGUCGAACGGAAAGACCCUGCUUUUGUGGGGUGCACGAGUGGCGAACGGGUGAGUGACACGUGAGUAACCUGCCCUUGACUUUGGGAUAACUCCUGGAAACAGGGGCUCAUACCGGGGAGAAGCUCCUGCUCCACGUGGGGGGUUGGAAAGUUCCGGCGGUGGUGGAUGGACUCGCGGCUUACCCGCUUGUUUGGGUGGUAGGGGCUUACCAGGGCUUUGACGGGUAGCCGGCCUGGGAGGGUGACCGGCCACAUGGGGACUGAGAUACGGCCCAGAAUCCUACGGGAGGCAGCAGUGGGGAAUAUUGCACAACGGGCGGAAGCCUGAUGCAGCAACGCCGCGUGCGGGAUAACGGCCUUCGGGUUGUAAACCGCUUUCGCCUGUGACGAAGCGUGAGUGACGGUAAUGGGUAAAGAAGCACCGGCUAACUACGUG